UACGUAGGGGGCAAGCGUUGUCCGGAUUUAUUGGGCGUAAAGAGCGUGUAGGCGGCCUGAAAGGUCAGCUGUGAAAACUCGAGGCUUAACCUCGAGACGUCGGUUGAAACCAUCUGGCUAGAGUCCGGAAGAGGAGUGUGGAAUUCCCCGGUGUAGCGGUGAAAUGCGCAGAUAUCGGGAAGAACACCCGUGGCGAAGGCGGUCUACUG
rnacentral:rRNA from 1 species